rnacentral:misc_RNA from 1 species
UUGAUUGAAGGAUUUUGCAAUAUUGUUUUUGUUUUUAUGUUGAGAUUGGCAAGAUUGGUGGUCUUUAAGUUUGAUUUUUGUGACCUAUCCAUGAAGAUUAUAAGUUCAUAAGAUUAAUGGUUUCUGCAUUUAUCAACGUGUAUUUGAUUUCUUAAAUUUCUGCUGUGGGGUUGGGGAUUGAGGAGACACUAGAACCAAGAUUAGCUUUUGAUAGAGCUGUUGGUACCUUUUUGAGGACUACUUUGAUUGCUGGGUUAUUGGGGCGCGAAUAUGUGAGUAAUGGUAUCAAAUACACUGAUGAGGAUUGUUGCACCUUGUUGGAAGCCUUCUGUUGAGGGUGAUAAUUCUAAUAGAGAUGGAGAUGUUACUGGUCGGGCUGAUGGAUUGUUGUGGUACAAAGAUUCAGGACACCAUGUAAAUGGGGAGUUCUCAAUGGCUGUAAUUCAAGCAAACAAUCUAUUGGAAGACUGUAGCCAACUUGAAUCAGGGCCAAUAAGCUUGCUUGAAUCAGGUCCUCAAGGCACAUUUGUAGGAAUUUAUGAUGGUCAUGGAGGUCCGGAAGCUGCUCGAUUUAUAAAUCAACAUCUUUUUGAAAAUAUCAAGACUAUUCAUGGUGCAGAAUUUACGUCAGAAACUCAUGGAAUGUCUGCAGAUGUUAUCAACAAAGCAUUUUUGGCAACAGAGGAGGCAUUUCUCUCUCUAGUACAACAACAGUGGCAAAUUAAUCCACAAAUUGCUUCUGUUGGUUCAUGUUGUUUGGUAGGUAUAGUGUAUAGUGGACAUCUAUACAUUGCAAAUGCAGGGGAUUCUCGAGUGGUGUUAGGAAGAUUGGACAAGUUGGCUAAGGAUGUCAAAGCCAUUCAGCUAUCAUAUGAACACAAUGCAAGUAUUGAAUCUGUGAGAGAGGAAUUGCAAUCACUGCAUCCCGAUGAUCCACAGAUUGUGGUUUUAAAACACAAGGUUUGGCGUGUGAAGGGUCUGAUUCAGGUCUCAAGAUCCAUAGGUGAUGCCUAUUUAAAGAGGGCAGAAUUCAACAGAGAGCCUCUGUUAGCUAAAUUUAGAUUGCCCCGACCCUUUGAUAAGCCGAUUCUUAAAGCUGAGCCAACAAUUUCAGUGCAGAAACUCUGCCCUGAGGAUCAAUUUCUUAUAUUUGCAUCAGAUGGUCUAUGGGAGCACCUAAGCAAUCAGGAAGCAGUUGACAUUGUCAACAAUUGCCCACGUAAUGUAGGAUUUCCUUAUACGUUUUUUCCCCCAUUUGUAUUUAUUUGAUGUAUUGUGAUUAUUGCUAUGCUUAACCAAACUCAGGGAAUGAUGACUUAUACACAGUCAGAAUGAAUAGAUUUUUUCUCUUUUUUUUUUUAUUUUAAUUAUUUGUCAAUAAGAAUCUGUAUUCUGUUUCCUAUUUUCUUCAGAUAGUUAUUGUUCUACCAGGUAAACAAACGGAAGGUGAUUCUACCUCUGGAGUGGUAUUUAUCUCGAAGGGUGGUGCUGGCUAUUUCUUCUUCUUCUUCUUAUUCCUUUUUUUUUCGAUUUUGAAUUUUAAUCUUUCACUACUCUAUUUGUUUAUGUUUAUUAGAGUGGUGCAUUGUACUGGAGAUGGUUCUUAUUUUGACUUUUUACUUGCACUAUAUUUUUUUCAAAGUUAAUUUUCUUGGUUAUAUCUUCUUAAAAGUUGAUUUUCUUGGUUUGUUUUUUUAGUUGCUUUUUGAUAGACUUCAAUAUUCCAUGUAUUUGCAGGGUGUUGCAAGAAAACUUCUCAAAGCUGCACUUCGAGAAGCGGCAAAGAAAAGAGAAAUGAGAUACGCAGACCUGAAAAAGAUUGAUCGUGGUGUGAGGAGACAUUUUCAUGAUGAUAUCACUGUUAUAGUUUUGUUCCUUGAUUCACAUCUGAUCAGUCGCAGCUCCGGCCAGGGGCCUCUGCUUUCGAUCAGAGGAGGUGGUGGGAUCCCUGGACAUUUCAUUACAUAGGUCAAGAGGUUCUAAACGCUUGAUGCUUAAUCCUCAUUUCUUCAUUUGUAUUAAGAAAAAAAAAAUUUCCUAAGAGUAGAGUCUUAAGGAAAGAUUAAUUUUUUCCCCUAUUGUAUAGCCACGCUUCUUAGAAAUUUCAACAAGUCAUAAGAAAGAGACUUCCAUAGAUAGUAGAGUUGAUGCCUUGACAGAUGGUGCUUCAGAAAAAACAAAGGCCUUUCUUAAGAGCCUGGAUAUUGGCAUGUGAUACUUGAUAUGCUAUUCAUCAUUACAGCUAUGGUUUCACUCAACUGCUUCAAGAACCCUUAACAAACAAAAUAUUGCCAUUGAAGUGGAAAUUCAACAAAUGAAAUAUUAUUUUCAUUCAUUCAGUUGCCCAUUUGUGCAUUUUCCCUUUAUCCCCCUUUACUAAUCAUGCAUCAUGUCACUAUUGAUUUGGUUUCAGGUCUCUCAGGAAUGAACAUGCAAGUAUAUACUGUACAGUUAUUCAUCAACCUGCAGUUGGUUGUACCUGUUUUUGAAAUAACUAGGGCAUCAAAUUGGUGUAGGUACUAUAAGCUCGACUUUAUACAAAAGGGAGCUUAAAAGUCUUUACAUCAGAUAUUUGUGUCAAGACUUGUUCACUUGUUGUGGGUUGAGCCAUUCCCAAGCCAAGAGAUUCACAUAGAGGCUAUUGUUAUCCGGGAAGAUCUUAUCUUCCCAUGUUAGCUAGCUGGUGUGGGCUUUCCUACGGUAGUCCCGCCGUGGGUGUGGGUGCGUGUCGGAAGGCCGACCACUGCUUAAGCUAAAGCCGAGCCGGAAGCGACUCACUUCUAUUCUUGUUGGGAUUGGAUAUAGAUCGGAUUAUAUGAAUCUUGAUACAAAUAUUUAAAGUAAAAGUUAUUAAAUUCAUUCUGUAUCAAAUUAACUUUCAAACGAUGCAGUGUCCAUGUCUAGUGAAUUGCAAAUUUUGCUAUGGAAAUUGUUUGCUUAUGGAUUAUUGCCAAUUCGGG